UACGUAGGGUCCAAGCGUUAUCCGGAAUCACUGGGCGUAAAGCGUGCGUAGGUGGAUGUUUAAGUGAGAGGUUAAAUCGUGUGGCUCAACCAUAUCGAUGCCUCUCAUACUGGGCAUCUAGAGGACAGCAGAGGCAAGUGGAACUAGUAGUGUAGCAGUGAAAUGCGUAGAUAUUACUAAGAACACCAAUGGCGAAGGCAGCUUGCUGGGCUACUCCUGACACUGAGGUACGAAAGCGUGGGGAGCGAACAGG
rnacentral:rRNA from 1 species